UGUUCAAGUUGUAUGUGUUAAGUCAUAUAUGUGUAUUGGUAAAAUUGCAUAAUGUAAAUCUUUCUUUGUGAUAUUUAAUGACAAUUGUGCAAUAUGAAAUAUGGAGAAAUUACAUAAUUUAAUAUAUUUUAUAUGUGGAGGUACUAGUAGAUUCAUGAAAGGUCUAUACUACCCUUAAAAUAAAAAAAAUUUACAGAUAAGACAACUCCUUAUAGUAGUUAUUGCCCUUUAAUGAAGAUUUAUCCCAUUUAUUUUGGAUUUUACCUAUUAUUUUGAUAUCUAU
rnacentral:lncRNA from 1 species